rnacentral:pre_miRNA from 1 species
AGAGGGAUAGCUGGGUUAAAUGGUGGUUCCAUUCCCAAUUUUCCAAGAAAUCUUCAUACUGCUUUCCAUAUUGGCUGUACCAUUUGCAGCCCCACCAGCAGU